rnacentral:tmRNA from 1 species
GCAUGUCGAGGUUCCACCCACCUCGUUAAAAAGGUGGAAAACAACUAAGUGCAGAAUCUCUGCCUGUUGCUGCCUAAUCAGUAGGCAUGCCGUUUCUCACGCGUUUUCCUGCGGCACAUGAGAGGCGUCGACGAGCAGGAUAGCAAGCCAGGUUCGUCCUGAGCCCGGCAAGCGAAACUUCAUCAGGGCUGGUUCGGAUGUGUUCUUCCUCUUCGAGCACUUCAGAACGAGAUGAAGAAGAGGAUAAGCAUGUAGAAGCUGUCUGUUGAAUGUCUUCGGACGCGGGUUCGAUUCCCGCCGCCUCCAUUG